rnacentral:ncRNA from 1 species
UUAAAAGCGUUGAAAGGGCAAAGUAAGUAGAUGACUUUAUUUACAGCGAACUGGAUUAGGUGAGAGCCAGAAUAAAAAACUCUGCUGAAAAUCUCCUUGGAGUUGCAAGCUGAAAGUUAAUUUUAAGUAAGCUAUGCCGGCAACCUAGGCAAAGGCCUAGGAAGAACAGCAUCCGUUAUCAUAUGCUGGAGUAUGAAGCAUGUUAUGGCUUAAUAUACUGGGCCCGUACGGUCAUAAUGAAAGUGUCCGUACUUAUAAUAUGUGAGUACUUAUUGAGACUAUUAUCGUAAGAUAGUAGUGAAUUUGGGUGGUAACACGUGAGGAGACCUCUCGUCCCAGUU